CAAUAAAAAGAAUACAGAUAAAAAUAAUAGAGUACCUAUAAAAUUAUAAAAUUAUAAUAUUAUCAUCACAUUAGCCUACAGAUGCUGCUAACCCUCCAACAGUGAGAAUGUAAAGAUCAUGAGUGAAAAGGUCAGUCCUAUUCAUAUUUCUUAUUAAAAUUUUGACCCGAGGUAGCACAUGAAUGCCACACCGAGUCGCACAGACGUGAUGCUACGCUUUGACAUUUCAGACUUUUGUGUGGAUUAAAAUACAUUUUAGGCCGUGCGAUACGAUAUUAUCACUAUUAAAGUCACCGUGCGACAGUAUUGCGGUUUUAUACAUCAUGCAGUAUGCUCAGUAUUGCAAUAACAUGUAUUGUGAUUUACCUUUUUAUUCUUUUUAUCCUUUUUAUUCCACUGCAAAUUGUGUCUCCAGAGGAUAAAACAGCGAGUGUUUUAUCUGAAAAGAGAGCAGGUUUCACUCAGUUCAUCUCACCUCAGGCUGACCGGCUCUGGCAGAAAAAAAAAAAAAAAAAAAAACUCACAAAUGUUGCAUCGAUACUUUGCGUCGUGUAUCGAUACAAUAUUGCCGCACAAAAUAUCAAGGUUCAAUUUAUUGUCGUAACAAACAAAAAAAAAAAAAAAACAUGUUGGGAAAGGAAUUCAUUACCCAGCUCCAGCAGCGUACAUAAUAAAUAAUGAAUAACUAAAAAACAGAUCAAAAUAAAUCAAGAAUAAAUCAAUAAAUUACUUAUGCUUAAUAAUACUUAUGCAAUACUUAUGCUGUAUUGAUCAGUUUAAUCAGAUAACAGGUCAGUGAGCCACAGCUGAAAUUUUGACACACAUUUUUUUUUUUUUUUUUUUUUUUUGUAAAUCACUGAAAAACAGGCUGAAAUGAAAGCCGCCGCUGACGUUGAGCUUUACACGGCAGCGUCUCUGGUGCUGAGAUCUCAACCACAUCAAUGAAACCGGAUUUUUUUUUUUUUUUUUUUUUUUACUUUUCAAACUUUGUGGAGAGCGUCCGGCCCGUCCCGUGAAGCCGUCGAGGACACGAAGGCGGCGUAACUCAGCCGAUGAAAGCUUUCCUGUCUCCAGAGCCGAGCUGUGUGCGGAGCCGCCACGCAAAGCGCCGAGCGUGCAGUCUGAGGCCCCCACCUGGACAUGAGCCGCAGUAUUACCCACAAUGCCAUGUGCAUGUAAACACACUCUGUGCAUCUCUCCUGCGUUAGGAGAACAGUAGAGGGUCUGUGCCAGUAUUAUUAUUAUUAUUAUUAUUCUUAUGAUGAUUAUGAUAUUAGAAAAUGUACUUGAGGCAGUGAUACGUAGGUGAUAUGGCCAAAAUAAGGUUGAAAAGCUAAAGUACUGUAUGUGUGUGGUGGUCGACGUGCUAACCUUCAGGAUCAUAAGGAUCGUUUCAGGUGCGUAAAGGUCCAGCUAAUACACAGCGGGAUGGGGAGGGGGGAGGGGAGGGGGGGGCGUCCACUCAUUGGCACGGCAACAAAACUAAAACUUAAAAAAAAAAAUCUAUACUUUUUUAUGCUUUUUAAAACCAAAUGCUCUUUUCCCAGCUCCGCCCUUCGCUUCACAGCCACACAGUGAGACGUGUAAUCAACGCUGGGAGCUGCAGUGACAAUAAAACGCUGAGAUGAUCCACCCAGAAACAUAAAAAUAGCUACCUUUCAUCAUCAGUCAUGACUUUUUUGGUUUCUGACACGCUGGAAACUGGUCUGAACACUCAGCGAGACGGCUUCAAGUGCUUCUGUGAACUUGGAAAAACAAGUGCUCUUUGGGGUUUUUUGUUUUGUUUUUGGGUUUUCUUUUUUUUUUCUUUUUUUUUUCCAGAUCUUGAAAAUGUAUCGCACCUGGGAUGUGACGUUUAAUCGCCGGUGUUUUUUUCCAACUGGAAAGGUGCAGAAACAGUGUGGACUCCAGCACAAAACCCAAAGUCAGCUCCAGGAGUUCACUGCAAACUGACAUCAAACUGAAAAAGCUCUGCUGCUGCGGAGCCUCUGGAGCCGACGGGCCUCUUUUCCUCCGAGGGGUCAGAGGUCAGAGGUCAGGAUGGGCUGGGGAGGGCUCAGUUUGAACAGUUUGAACAAGUGAUGGUAAAGUCCUGCUGGUUAUUUAAGGAGAUGUUAAAGGAAACUGCAGCGUUUUGGGCAAAACACCCCCCGGUCCUGACUCUGCCCCGGGCUCAGACCAGAUGUUGGACACCGUUCUCACCAGUCGUUCACUUCCUAUGCCGAGCCCUUUCUGUUAGCUUAGCAUAAAGACUUGAAGUCUAUGGGAGUUGUUAGCCUGGCUCGGUCAAAGUGAAUAAAAUAGACCUUCCAGCAGACUCUCGUCUCAGUCUGGGGAAUUUGCCCAAAAUGUUGGAGUAUUUCUUUUGCAUAAAAAUAAAUGAAUAAAUAAAUAUAAGAUACAGCAGGGGAAAAGAGACGAAAUAUGACCCUAUGGGCUUUCCAUAGCUCACAAGCCUGUUGAAUCCCUCCCAGCUUCAAACCCUGACCUCCGACCUGAGGAGAGCGAAGAGGAGCAAUAAAGUGUCACGAUUAUCACUUUUAUUAUUUUUUAGAUGUAGGCCAAAAGAAUAAAGAAGAAGUGAACAAUCCCUUUUUGCUCAUGAGAAUCACGUUGGCGUCCUGCUCAACGAAAAACGUUUAAGAAUGAAAAUCAGAUUUUUAACCACCUGAUCUAUAUUGCUCUAUGUCUCUCUCUCUCUCUCUCUCUCUCUCUCUCUCUCUCUCUCUCUCUCCCUCUCUCUCUUUUUUUUUUUUGGUAAAUCUGUGCUGCUGUUCUCUUUCCUCUGGCUGUCGGAUGAAAUAUAAAAUAUGAAAUAUGAGACUUGUUCCAGGGAUGAACACCAUCAGCAGUGUCCGAUCUGACUGUGAUCAUGUUCAUGUAAGACGAGUAUUUUGUCCAGACGGUGCUGCCGUAGGUGUCGGUUUGGUGUCAGAAAAGAACGCAGAUGAGCCGCAAGUGACUCACUGAAGUAUUUUAAGUGUUUUUAUUUCAGAGUGACGGACGGAUGGGGUUUUUAUUUUUUUUUUUCCACAAAUGAAAUCAGAUCAAGUCUCCGUCACAGAGCGAGAGACAGACGGAGAGCGAGCGUCUUGCCUUGUCCUCCCUUCAGUCGCCGCGCUGCUUUGACCUUUGACCUUCUCCAGGCCUUCAGGACUCGCUCAUGGAGACGCCGCCAUGUUGGAGGAGCGGCCGGCUGCUCUGGGAUCUGCUGUCUCUGCUCCCAGAGAGCGACGGCUGUCUGUAGGAAACCCAGCAGAGACGUGAGACUCUGCCCUCGCCGUGGCCGUAGAGACUGACAGUAUUGUUGACAUCCAUCGUGACAGGGCAGGCACCUGAUUGGUCGCUGUGUUCCACCAAAAUGAAUUAAAAUCUUUGGCGCGCUGCUAAAAUCGCUGACACGAUUGGAAGCUAAGAACGUUAAUGCUACGCUAAGCAGACGUGAGCUGAGUUCAUCUUUAUUAGCUUUGUUUUUGUAAACAAAGUUAUUGAAUCAUUUUCUCCCAAAAUCAACAUUUAUUUAAAAAAAAAAAAAAAAAAAACACAAAGUUAUUCUCCCAGUUGUUUUAUUGAUUUUCCCGUGAGAACAGAACCUGUGUCCGUUAGCCGUGCAUCGGCUCUGAUGUAAACAAACUCUCCCGCCGACGCCGUGACGUCACUGGAAGCUGUACAGCUGUUGCCAUGGCAACACGGGCCACCCGGAAACACUCUGACCUGCUGUGAACCAAAGGCCCGUUCGGUUUCUAUGGUUACUGUUUUUUUUUUUUUUUUUAAACCUUUCUUCAUGCAGAGCAAGGCGACAGAGCCGGGCCAGCCUGUGCCUUGCUCAAGGGCACUGCGGUCAGUGGCAUACUUGCCAUUUGUAAACCCGACGUUUACGAAGGAGCGCAUCGAUUUGAAUCGGCAAGCAGCCCCAUUCACCACGGCGACGUCUCCCAUCAUGCAACUGGUCUUCAACCAUCUCACAACUGGAACCAACCUCAUUACAUUUUCUGCUCAAAAAUGUAAAAGAAAACCUUUUAUCUGAGUUUUUACUCAUAAUUUUGUCUGUUCAUUGUUUUUUUUGUUUUUUUCCCCUCUACCAUGGCCCUAAAACACCAUCGCACAAAACAUGUAGGCCUAACCCUAACACAGCUGGGAUAACAGAAUUGGGUCGAUCAUCGCUGUUUGUUUGUUUGUUUGUUUGUUUUAUUUCCCAUCUGCAUUGUUUCAAUAUGUUUCCCAGAUGUCACGGCCUUCAGGAGAAGAAAAGUAGGUCCUUUUUUACAGUUUUAACCCCUUAAAUCCCCGACGACAUGAGAGAGAAACACGCCAUGCGCUCUGGACAGAGGGCGAGGGGUUAAACUGACAGUGGACCAAGCACACACCUUUCAAGUGUUACGAGGUUUUCUGAAUCGAGAUUUAUUAUUUUUUUUUCUUUCUCCUCUGCCUGGUUCUGCUCUUCAGUUGAUGAAGUCACCAUGUUUGUCUGAAGCGCCACCUGUCUGUCAGCGUUACGAAAUAAACGGAAAAUAUGUCCAACGAGACAACAGAGCGGGA